GAUGAACCCUGGCGGCGUGCCUAAUACAUGCAAGUCGAGCGAACAGAUAAGGAGCUUGCUCCUUUGACGUUAGCGGCGGACGGGUGAGUAACACGUGGGUAACUUACCUAUAAGACUGGAAUAACUCCGGGAAACCGGGGCUAAUGCCGGAUAACAUGUUGAACCGCAUGGUUCUACAGUGAAAGGCGGCUUUGCUGUCACUUAUAGAUGGACCCGCGCCGUAUUAGCUAGUUGGUGAGGUAACGGCUCACCAAGGCAACGAUACGUAGCCGACCUGAGAGGGUGAUCGGCCACACUGGAACUGAGACACGGUCCAGACUCCUACGGGAGGCAGCAGUAGGGAAUCUUCCGCAAUGGGCGAAAGCCUGACGGAGCAACGCCGCGUGAGUGAUGAAGGUCUUCGGAUCGUAAAACUCUGUUAUUAGGGAAGAACAAAUGCGUAAGUAACUGUGCGCGUCUUGACGGUACCUAAUCAGAAAGCCACGGCUAACUACGUG
rnacentral:rRNA from 1 species